rnacentral:rRNA from 1 species
AUUGAACGCUGGCGGCAGGCCUAAUACAUGCAAGUCGAGCGAGCGGCGGACGGGUGAGUAAUGUAUGGGGACUGCCCGAUAGAGGGGGAUAACUACUGGAAACGGUAGCUAAUACCGCAUACUAUUGGAUAUCCCAUAUGGGAUUAGUAGGUAGGUGAGGUAAUGGCUCACAUGGGCGACGAUCCCUAGCUGGUCUGAGAGGAUGAUGGGCAAACCUGGGACUGGGACACGGCCCAGACUCCUACGGAGGCGGCGGAGGGGAAUAUUGCACAUUGGGCGCAGUCCGGAUGCAGCCAGGCCGCGUGGAGGAGGAGGGCCCUAGGGUUGAAAGGUACUUUCAGUCGGGAGGCGGUACCGAAAGAAGAAGCGCCGGCUAACUCCGUGCCAGCAGCCGCGGUAAUAC